UUCGUAAAUGGUCACUCUCAGUAUUCUUAUUCUUAACAAGCAUCUAUACUUUCACUUCAAUGUCUCCACACCAUGAUUUAGGACUCAUCUAUCUAAAAGAAGCGAUCAUAUAUCAAUUUUUUGAAUUGAUCACCAUCUCCAUGAUGAUCUUACGAUCAAAAAUAAUUUAUGAGUUAAUUAUAAUAAUACAUGUCUCAAAU
rnacentral:lncRNA from 1 species